CCUACGGGAGGCUGCAGUGGGGAAUAUUGGACAAUGGGGGGAACCCUGAUCCAGCCAUGCCGCGUGUGUGAAGAAGGCCCUCGGGUUGUAAAGCACUUUCAGUGAGGAAGAACGCCUGGUGGUUAAUACCCAUCAGGAAAGACAUCACUCACAGAAGAAGCACCGCCUAACUCCGUGCCAGCAGCCGCGGUAAUACGGAGGGUGCGAGCGUUAAUCGGAAUUACUGGGCGUAAAGCGCGCGUAGGUGGCUUGAUAAGCCGGUUGUGAAAGCCCCGGGCUCAACCUGGGAACGGCAUCCGGAACUGUCAAGCUAGAGUGCAGGAGAGGAAGGUAGAAUUCCCGGUGUAGCGGUGAAAUGCGUAGAGAUCGGGAGGAAUACCAGUGGCGAAGGCGGCCUUCUGGACUGACACUGACACUGAGGUGCGAAAGCGUGGGUAGCAAACAGGAUUAGAUACCCUUGUAGUC
rnacentral:rRNA from 1 species